UCAACAGCAUCAUCUCGAAGGCUGUGCACCCGUCCUGUCAUAUCCUGUUUUAAGGAAAGUGCUAAUGGCUGGAAACUAACUAUUGUCAGCUAUCUCCCAGGGCUGUGGCCCUGACAUUCAGUGUCACUGGUGGAAAUCCAGCCGCGGCACAAGCCCCGGGGUCCCUGGCGCAGCCGUCUGAACCACAGCGCCAACGAUCCGUGCGCCGGGGUGGAAGGACUCGGGGGGUGCGCGCUUCCUCCGCCCUCGGGCCGCGCGUCCGGAACGGCCCUGGCUGUCAGGACUUCUCUGCUGUCCAGCAGGUCCUGCUGUGUCCCCAAGCAUGUGCAACAAGAAGUAUUGGAUUUCAGACUCAGAAGCUAUUAGUCCCAUGCUUCAUACGGUCUGCAGCAGGAGAAAAGAAUGAGGCAGACCUGUAGAAUUAAGUAAAGGAAAAAAAGGAAAGCAGCGAUGUGUACCGAACCCCUACAAGCUGCAAGGAUACCCUCCUGCCUUCCAUUUGCACAUGCCACUGGGAAGAGGUGGAGUUUUAUGAAGCUGGGAAAACCUGAUACACAGAGGCUGCUCGCCGUCUCCGUGUUCCAGUCUGGAAGAGACUACGCCAUAGUGCAAACUAGCAUUUUACAGUUAUAACUAAGACUUACGUGUUGCUUUUUUAAAAAGGCCCUCCAGAUAUCCUGUCUCAACCUCACUUUUGCCACCAGACGUUGUAUCACAGAUCUCCUUCCUUCUCGUCCCUGGAGGUGUUUCGGUUCUGCUGGUUUUCCUGUUUCCUCGUAGGCCGUGCUGGGCUUCUGCUGUUCUCUGUUCAUGGUGUCCAGGCUAAUGAAUCCAAGCUGAAGGACUCCGUAUUCCUGAGUCCCUCCUUCCUCGCAGCUGGGUGUAACCAUGUGAAUGAGCUCUGAACAAAAACCGUGCGUGGCAACGACAGACUCCGUUUCCAGGCCCAGUCCUUGAACAGCCCCCCUGCAUUUUCCUUCCUGCCCUUCCCGUCUGCACAGUGAUCCCGGAAGCCAUGUGUUGAAAAUAGUGGAGCUGCAUACGGAAGGCAUCUGGGUCCCCAGAGAUGUAAGAGAACUGCUUGCCAAUCAGAAGCACCUUUUUUUUUGGACUUUGAGGUUGUGUCUCAGGUAUCGCUGCAUGACACACCACUCCAACAGUUAGUGAAUUAAAACAACACUUUAUUAUACUCUCUCUCAGUUUUGUGGAUGGAUUGGGCUCAGUUGGGUGGUUCUCACUUGGAGGGUCUUGGAGGGUUGAAGUCAGAUGGGUGGGGCAUUUUGCUUUUAACUCUGAACUCAUUCAUUGCCCAGACCCUUUACUAGCCACUGGGAAAAAUGUUAAGAAUUCAGUUUCUCGUGCCUUGUUUCCAGGGAUUCUGAUUCAAAGGACUGGAUGAGACUAACAAGAUUUGCAAUUCUAACCAGAUUGUUGUAUGAGCUUUAUUCCUCUUGUUAGUUCUUCCCACUUCCUAAAUUUCUGAUUACCUAGAAAACAGAGGUCAGUCUCUCUGAAGAUCUCACAAGUUUCUCUUUACCCAACUAUGUAUUUCACCACACCCUUAGAAGACCUUGAAUCACUCGAAUUCAAGAAGGCUUGAGUCUUUUCAGCCCUACCUUCCAGAGAGGAUAAAAGUGACACUGCUUUAUUCAGAGGAACAUCGAUCUUAUUUCUCAAGCGAGAGGGAGGGAAAGAGUGACAGAUUAGCUUGCUCAGACCCUAGAAUUAUCUUCUGUUGUGAUUGGAUUAAUUGACUGAUCAACCUAAUUGUUUCAAAUCCAGAAUCUUAAUCACAGAACAAGCCCCCCAACCGUUUUUUUUUUUUUAAGCUGCUUUGAUCUUGGUUACCUCUUCUCCAAGCUCCCCACAGAUGCUCAGCUCCCUUACUUAACAUUCUCAGCUCAUGUUUUCUGCAACUUGUUCAGGCUUUCUUCACCAGCCACGCCCCCUGCCCGGGAUGUAGGUUCCCCACCCUGGCCAUGCUAAGGUUUUCUCCUCCUUGAAAACACUGCUAACAUUGACCUGUCCCGAACAGCAAGCCAUACAGGAAGGAGGAGAAACUGAGGAAGGAGAACAGCUCUGUUCAAGGUCCGACUUCGCUGCUUCCUGGCUGGGUCACCAAAGGAACUCAUACGCUGGUCUCUCAUAAAAGGGCUUGUGCUCCAGGCUCACUGGCUUGCUUUCAGUUCUUGCAAAGAAUUCUGGCCCCUUCCUGCUGCAGGGCUUUUGCAAAAGCUAUUCCCUCCCCCUGGAACACGGUUGCCCUCCUCACCCUUUACGCUGGUAAAUGCCUUCAGUGGUCGUGUCCUCAGGGACUAGGCCAGAUGUCCCUCUUAUACCACCAUGUACCUCACCUUCAGGGCAUUGAUCACAGUCAUAGAUUUAUAUCGACUUGUGAGAUAAUGUAAUUAACA